ensembl:lncRNA
CUCUUGUCUCCCAGGACGGAGCAGGUUUCAGGUCAGCUCAUUUGCUCACCUUCUUUCUAAUUCCUAUUGGCCCUGGUGCUGCUGCCAGCCCCUUUCCUGCAGGAUAUCCCAAAGCUUCCUCUUGAAGGAGGAGCGGCCCCUUCAAAACUGAGCUGGGUUCCCUGAGCUGUGCCCUGCUGCCAAGCCAGCCCCACACCGCUGCCCCUGCGUGAUCCAGGCUGUCAGAUGAAGGUUUUCCACACCUCAGCAAUCAUCGCAGAGCAGCUGGGGACGGGGCUGGAGCUCACAGGCUGCAGACCUGUCUGGUAGCCAUGUAAAAUCCCCCGAGAGAUGAGUAUGAAGUUGAUUGCUUGGUCUGUUUUACAGCGCUAAGCUUUCAGUUGGAAAUACCCUUCUCAGCUUGAAACCAGAAGCUCUGACAAUGACAGAUCUAUUCCGAGGAGAUACCAUCGUUACAGGGUGGGGUAGCAAGCUCCAUUCCCAUCUGCUGAUAGAAUUAUCUCCACUGUGUGACCCUCCUCUUAUCCGUUGCUGACAGCAAUGUUUCUUGUGGCUGUUCCCCCCACCAGCUGCAGUGAGAGGUUAUUUUCAGCUGCCAGGAGCAAUGCUGUCUCUCUGAUUUUUUUUAUUUUUUUUAAUUUUUUUACUCUCAAGGCCAGAUCUUCCAGUUAGCAAUCAGCACUGCAGGUCCGUGGCAGAUUCCUACCCAGUCUCUGUACAACCCCUCUGUUGCAUGUUGAUGAUUGGAGUCAAUGGGGGAAGCUUAUUUUUUUUACCCCGUGCUCUCCACAGUGUGCAGUGUUGAAUUCUUACAGAAUUACAGAACAUUUUCAGGCAGAGGAAUCCCAUUCUGCCUUUAUUCAGACUGACAGCAGCUGUGUAAACCCUCUGGGGUUCGUUAAUUUUUUAUUUUUUUUUUCCAUUUCCUGCAGUACAGCAGAGUGUGAUUUGGAAGGAAGCCAUUUGGUCCACCAUGUACCUGUUUUAAUUGCACUUAAACCAGUACAUCUUUUGCUAGAAUGACCUUAAAUCAGCUUAUUAGCACUGACACAAGGGUUCUUGAAUUAUGCGCAUUUCAUACUUUCACCCAUUGCAGCAUACUACUUUUAUCUGUGGUUGAAACUCACCCUAAAUUAGGAGGCAGAACAAAGAGCUGCUCACUAUCUACACCUCCCUGAAAGCCUGAUGCAGAGGGCAGGGGAAUGUAAGACUUGCAAAGCCUUUGUAGUAACCUUGCCUGGCAAUUGAUUUUAUCUUUAAGGCUGUCGCUGUUUCUUUGCUGUAAAAUCCUUUUUCACUCUACUGGUUUUGGAGCUCAUAUGAAAAGCACACCUUUGGCACAGAUGUGCCACCAUCAUUUUUUAAUUUGUACUUUAAUGUUUGAAAAAACACAAAGAUGCCCUCUUCAGUUUAUUUCUGUGUGUAAUGCUGAUGGAUUCCUGCAAUCAUCCUUGUAAAACAGAGUCCUAGAGAGAUGGAAAAGGUUUCAUAUUGCUCACUGCAGAAUGCUGUUAACACACCUCAGCUAAAUUCUGCCUUUGUGUCUUUAAUGGUCAGCCUUCCAAAAUAUAAUUAGAAUAACC